rnacentral:lncRNA from 1 species
UCCCUACCAUGGCCAAAGGUGACCGAUCUCUGGAAUGAGGUGUGAAAUCACCCAUUCAGCUGAUUCAGAAAGACUGAAGCUGAGUGUGUUUUCACAUGUGCAUAUACAUGCAUGUGCAUGUAUGUGAACGUGUAUGUUCUGGUGGAGAACUUGAAUCAUUGGAAACAAGGGUGAAUUAGGAGGUAGAAGAAAUAAAAAGCAAACAACAACAACAAAACCCACUGGAUUCUCCUACCAACCAGGGUAAAACUUCAUGGACAUUUGUGUCCUUGUGGUUUCAUGGGAAGGCUUUCUCUUCAGGCCUUCCCAAACCCACAGUCUUAAAAGGACACCCAGAACUUCUUCCCAUCUGAAUAUUCAAUGUGAUAGCUACACAUGCAUGACACCCCUUCGGAUAUGGCACCUGCAGGUAGGAUUCAACUGAGCAUCUGUACCAGAUGAAUCGUGGAUCCAGGCUCAGAAAACAGGUUCCCUGGCUCUGAAUCUUGGUUCUGCUUGUUAGCCAGGAACGGUGCUCUCCACAAGGCUUCAGAAUGCAAAACCAGACAUCCCAAGAGCAGCCUGUGCAUUAUAAGGCUGUCCCCCACCAACCCUGGACAGUGAACAAGAUUGAAGACAGAUCUGUGUCGAUCUUGAGUGCUGUUGGGAAUAAAUGCCCAGCAUGAAGCUGACAAGAGUGGCCACCGGGCUGGACCAACUUCAACCAAGGGCAAAGUUUUGAGUGCUACAUCUGCUCCUGUGGGCUUCCCCUCCUUCAGGCCCCAACCCCAUCUCUGCCUGUGCUGUUUCAUGAGAUUACUCCCUGCCUGUCCUCUGGCCUGGCUUGCCUUGGGAAUUGCCUUGGAUCCCCAUCUUUAGGCUCCAAUUAGUAUCUGUUACAGACAUCACGAGUGGCUCUGUUCCAGUCCUUGCUCACGCUUAUUUCCCCCACUAAGCUCUCUGUUUGGUGCCAACCAUCUUUUCUCCAUUCCUAGGGAAUGUAAGUCCUAUGGAGUGGGGUGAGAGACAGAGGACAGGAGCUGAGCGCCCAAGCCAUGACCUCGCCCGAUGGAUCUCUCCCAAACCUGCUCUAUACUGUACCAUAGGAAGACUGGGAUAAUCAGAAGCCAAGCAGACUGACUGGUCACAUUGUGCUGGGCUUCACAGUCCCCUUAUUUAUAACCCUUAGUUUACAGGUGACAAAAUAUAGUUAGAAGGCCUGUGAGAUAGCUUAAUGGGUGACAGGGCUUGGCAUGAAGGCCUUGACAAUCUGAGUUCAAUCCUUAGGUCCCAACUUGGAAGGGG